rnacentral:rRNA from 1 species
CCUUGGAACAGGACGUCACAGAGGGUGAGAAUCCCGUACGUGGUCGCUAGCCUUUACCGUGUAAAGCCCCUUCGACGAGUCGAGUUGUUUGGGAAUGCAGCUCUAAAUGGGAGGUAAAUUUCUUCUAAAGCUAAAUACUGGCCAGAGACCGAUAGCGCACAAGUAGAGUGAUCGAAAGAUGAAAAGCACUUUGGAAAGAGAGUUAAAAAGCACGUGAAAUUGUUGAAAGGGAAGCGCUUGCAGCCAGACUUGCCUGUAGUUGCUCAUCCGGGUUUUUACCCGGUGCACUCUUCUAUAGGCAGGCCAGCAUCAGUUUGGGCGGUUGGAUAAAGGUCUCUGUCAUGUACCUCUCUUCGGGGAGAACUUAUAGGGGAGACGACAUGCAACCAGCCUGGACUGAGGUCCGCGCAUCUGCUAGGAUGCUGGCGUAAUGGCUGUAAGCGGCCCGUCUUGAAACACGGACCAAGGAGUCUAACAUCUAUGCGAGUGUUUGGGUGUCAAGCCCGAGCGCGUAAUGAAAGUGAACGGAGGUGGGAACCUUUCGGGGUGCACCAUCGACCGAUCCUGAUGUCUUCGGAUGGAUUUGAGUAAGAGCAUAGCUGUUGGGACCCGAAAGAUGGUGAACUAUGCUUGAAUAGGGUGAAGCCAGAGGAAACUCUGGUGGAGGCUCGCAGCGGUUCUGACGUGCAAAUCGAUCGU